rnacentral:rRNA from 1 species
AGCGAACGCUGGCGGCAGGCCUAACACAUGCAAGUCGAACGAACCUUUCGGGGUUAGUGGCGGACUGGUGAGUAACACGUUGGAACGUGCCUUUAGGUUCGGCUUAUCUCAGGGAAACUUGUUCUAAUACCGACUGUGCCCUUCGGUGGAAAGAUUAAUCGCCUUUAGAGCGGCCGGCGUCUUAUUAGCUAGUUGUUUGAGUUAAUGGCUAACCAAGGCGACGAUCAGUAGCUGGUCUGAGAGGAUGAUCAGACACAUUGGGACUGAGACACGGCCCAAACUACUACGGGAGGCAGCAGUGGGGAAUCUUGCGAAAUGGGCGAAAGCAUGAAGGAGCCAUGACGCGUGAAUGAUGAAGGUCUGAGGAAAGUAAAAUUAUUUAACAGGGGACGAUAAUGACGGUACCAGGAGAAGAAGCACCGGCUAACUUCGUG